rnacentral:rRNA from 1 species
AGUGAACGCUGGCGGUAGGCCUAACACAUGCAAGUCGAACGGCAGCACAGUAAGAGCUUGCUCUUACGGGUGGCGAGUGGCGGACGGGUGAGGAAUACAUCGGAAUCUACUUUUUCGUGGGGGAUAACGUAGGGAAACUUACGCUAAUACCGCAUACUACCUACGGGUGAAAGCAGGGGAUCUUCGGACCUUGCGCGAUUGAAUGAGCCGAUGUCGGAUUAGCUAGUUGGCGGGGUAAAGGCCCACCAAGGCGACGAUCCGUAGCUGGUCUGAGAGGAUGAUCAGCCACACUGGAACUGAGACACGGUCCAGACUCCUACGGGAGGCAGCAGUGGGGAAUAUUGGGCAAUGGGCGAAAGCCUGAUCCAGCAAUACCGCGUGGGUGAAGAAGGCCUUCGGGUUGUAAAGCCCUUUUGUUGGGAAAGAAAAGCAGCAGGUUAAUACGCCGAUGUUCUGACGGUACCCAAAGAAUAAGCACCGGCUAACUUCGUG